UACAGAGGGUGCAAGCGUUGUUCGGAAUUAUUGGGCGUAAAGCGCGUGUAGGCGGCUUUGCAAGUCGGGUGUGAAAGCCCUCAGCUCAACUGAGGAAGUGCGCCCGAAACUGCAGAGCUUGAGUGCCGGAGAGGAUGGCGGAAUUCCCCAAGUAGAGGUGAAAUUCGUAGAUAUUCGGAAGAACACCAGUGGCGAAGGCGAGUCUCUGGACGACCCCUGACACUGAGGCACGAAAGCUAGGGGAGCAAACAGG
rnacentral:rRNA from 1 species